GACGAACGCUGGCGGCGUGCUUAACACAUGCAAGUCGAACGGAAAGGCCCUGCUUUUGUGGUGUGCUCGAGUGGCGAACGGGUGAGUAACACGUGAGUAGCCUGCCCUUGACUUUGGGAUAACUUCAGGAAACUGGGGCUAAUACCGGGUAGGAGCUCCUGCUGCAUGGUGGUGGUUGGUAAGUUUCGGCGGUUGGGGCUGGUCUCGCGGCUUAUCAGCUUGUUGGUGGGGUAGUGGCUUACCAAGGCUUUGACGGGUAGCCGGCCUGAGAGGGUGACCGGCCACAUUGGGACUGAGAUACGGCCCAGACUCCUACGGGAGGCAGCAGGGGGGAAUAUUGCACAAUGGGCGGAAGCCUGAUGCAGCAACGCCGCGUGCGUGAUGACGGCCUUCGGGUUGUAAACCGCUUUCGCCUGUGACGAAGCGUGAGUGACGGUAAUGGGUAAAGAAGCACCGGCCAACUACGUG
rnacentral:rRNA from 1 species